GUUUGAUCCUGGCUCAGGACGAACGCUGGCGGCGUGCUUAACACAUGCAAGUCGAACGGAAAGGCCCUGCUUUUGUGGGGUGCUCGAGUGGCGAACGGGUGAGUAACACGUGAGUAACCUGCCCUUGACUUUGGGAUAACUUCAGGAAACUGGGGCUAAUACCGGAUAGGAGCUCCUGCUGCAUGGUGGGGGUUGGAAAGUUUCGGCGGUUGGGGAUGGACUCGCGGCUUAUCAGCUUGUUGGUGGGGUAGUGGCUUACCAAGGCUUUGACGGGUAGCCGGCCUGAGAGGGUGACCGGCCACAUUGGGACUGAGAUACGGCCCAGACUCCUACGGGAGGCAGCAGUGGGGAAUAUUGCACAAUGGGCGGAAGCCUGAUGCAGCAACGCCGCGUGCGGGAUGACGGCCUUCGGGUUGUAAACCGCUUUCGCCUGUGACGAAGCGUGAGUGACGGUAAUGGGUAAAGAAGCACCGGCUAACUACGUGCCAGCAGCCGCGGUGAUACGUAGGGUGCGAGCGUUGUCCGGAUUUAUUGGGCGUAAAGGGCUCGUAGGUGGUUGAUCGCGUCGGAAGUGUAAUCUUGGGGCUUAACCCUGAGCGUGCUUUCGAUACGGGUUGACUUGAGGAAGGUAGGGGAGAAUGGAAUUCCUGGUGGAGCGGUGGAAUGCGCAGAUAUCAGGAGGAACACCAGUGGCGAAGGCGGUUCUCUGGGCCUUUCCUGACGCUGAGGAGCGAAAGCGUGGGGAGCGAACAGGCUUAGAUACCCUGGUAGUCCACGCUGUAAACGGUGGGUACUAGGUGUGGGGUCCAUUCCACGGGUUCCGUGCCGUAGCUAACGCUUUAAGUACCCCGCCUGGGGAGUACGGCCGCAAGGCUAAAACUCAAAGGAAUUGACGGGGCCCCGCACAAGCGGCGGAGCAUGCGGAUUAAUUCGAUGCAACGCGUAGAACCUUACCUGGGUUUGACAUGGAUCGGGAGUGCUCAGAGAUGGGUGUGCCUCUUUUGGGGUCGGUUCACAGGUGGUGCAUGGCUGUCGUCAGCUCGUGUCGUGAGAUGUUGGGUUAAGUCCCGCAACGAGCGCAACCCUUGUUCACUGUUGCCAGCACGUUAUGGUGGGGACUCAGUGGAGACCGCCGGGGUCAACUCGGAGGAAGGUGGGGAUGACGUCAAGUCAUCAUGCCCCUUAUGUCCAGGGCUUCACGCAUGCUACAAUGGCUGGUACAGAGAGUGGCGAGCCUGUGAGGGUGAGCGAAUCUCGGAAAGCCGGUCUCAGUUCGGAUUGGGGUCUGCAACUCGACCUCAUGAAGUCGGAGUCGCUAGUAAUCGCAGAUCAGCAACGCUGCGGUGAAUACGUUCCCGGGCCUUGUACACACCGCCCGUCAAGUCAUGAAAGUCGGUAACACCCGAAGCCGGUGGCCCAACCUUUUGGAGGGAGCUGUCGAAGGUGGGAUCGGUAAUUAGGACUAAGUCGUAACAAGGUAGCCG
rnacentral:rRNA from 1 species